rnacentral:rRNA from 1 species
UACAGAGGGGGCAAGCGUUGUUCGGAAUUACUAGGCGUAAAGGGCGCGUAGGCGGCCUUCUAAGUCGAACGUGAAAUCCCCGGGCUCAACCCGGGAACUGCGUCCGAUACUGGAAGGCUUGAAUCCGGGAGAGGGAUGCGGAAUUCCAGGUGUAGCGGUGAAAUGCGUAGAUAUCUGGAGGAACACCGGUGGCGAAGGCGGCAUCCUGGACCGGUAUUGACGCUGAGGCGCGAAAGCCCAGGGGAGCAAAGCAGG